GACGAACGCUGGCGGCGUGCUUAACACAUGCAAGUCGAACGAAGUGGCGAACGGGUGAGUAAUACGUGGGUAACCUGCCCUCCUUUUUGGGAUAAGCCUUGGAAACGGGGUCUAAUACCGAAUAAAGGGGGAUGGGCUCGGGGCCUAUCGGCUGGUUGGGGGGGUGAUGGCCUACCAAGGCGGUGACGGGUAGCCGGCCUGAGAGGGGGACCGGGCACAUUGGGACGGACAAACGGCCCAGACUCCGACGGGGGGGAGAAGUGGGGGAUAUUGCCCAAUGGGCGAAAGCCUGAUGCAGUGGCGGCGCGUGGGGGAUGAAGGCUUUAGGGUUGUAAAACUCUUUCGGUAUCGAAGGGGUAGGUGGAGAAGAAGCGCCGGCUAACUACGUGCCAGCCGCCGCGGUAAUUC
rnacentral:rRNA from 1 species